rnacentral:rRNA from 1 species
CCCUUAGAUGUUCUGGGCCGCACACGCGCUACACUGAUGCAUUCAACAAGCCUAGCCUUGACCGAGAGGUCCGGGUAAUCUUUGAAACUGCAUCGUGAUGGGGCUAGAUUAUUGCAAUUAUUAAUCUUCAACGAGGAAUGCCUAGUAAGCGUGAUUCAUCAAAUCGCGUUGAUUACGUCCCUGCCCUUUGUACACACCGCCCGUCGCUCCUACCGAUUGAAUGUGUUGGUGAGGAGCUCGGAUUGGCAGCAGUUGGUGGUUCGCCACCGGCUAUUGCUGAGAAGUCCUCCAAACCGCCCCAUUUAGAGGAAGGAGAAGUCGUAACA